rnacentral:rRNA from 1 species
UACGGGGGGGGCAAGCGUUGUUCGGAAUUACUGGGCGUAAAGGGAGCGUAGGCGGAUAGUUUAGUCAGAGGUGAAAGCCCAGGGCUCAACCUUGGAAUUGCCUUUGAUACUGGCUAUCUUGAGUACGGAAGAGGUAUGUGGAACUCCGAGUGUAGAGGUGAAAUUCGUAGAUAUUCGGAAGAACACCAGUGGCGAAGGCGACAUACUGGUCCGUUACUGACGCUGAGGCUCGAAAGCGUGGGGAGCAAACAGG